GUGCUCACUUUGGCAGCACAUGUACUAAAUAAUUAGAAUGAUACAGAGUUAGCAUGGGCCCCGUGCAAGGAUGACGUGCAGAUUUGUGAAGCAUUCUAGAUUUAA